rnacentral:rRNA from 1 species
GAUUAACGCUGGCGGCGUGCCUAACACAUGCAAGUCGAGCGGCCGCGAGUUUUACACUGAAUUCUGGAAGCUUCUAGUUGAAAGAGAAGAUUUAUUCAAGAAUUUUGUGUAAAAUGUCGGCGAGCGGCGGACGGCUGAGUAACGCGUGGGAACGUACCCCAAAGUGAGGGAUAACGCAUCGAAAGGUGUGCUAAUACCGCAUAUGGUCUUCGGAUUAAAGCCUUCGGGCGCUUUGGGAACGGCCUGCGUAAGAUUAGAUAGUUGGUGGGGUAAUGGCCUACCAAGUCGACGAUCUUUAACUGGUUUGAGAGGAUGAUCAGUCAGACUGGAACUGAGACACGGUCCAGACUCCUACGGGAGGCAGCAGUGAGGAAUCUUCCACAAUGGGCGAAAGCCUGAUGGAGCAACGCCGCGUGCAGGAUGAAGGCCUUCGGGUUGUAAACUGCUUUUAUAAGUGAGGAUUAUGACAGUAACUGAUGAAUAAGGAUCGGCUAACUACGUG